rnacentral:rRNA from 1 species
CCAGACUCCUACGGGAGGCAGCAGUGGGGAAUAUUGCACAAUGGGGGGAACCCUGAUGCAGCGACGCCGCGUGGGUGAAGGAGUAUUUCGGUAUGUAAAGCCCUAUCGGCAGGGAAGAAGCAAGACGGUACCUGACUAAGAAGCCCCGGCUAACUACGUGCCAGCAGCCGCGGUAAUACGUAGGGGGCAAGCGUUAUCCGGAUUUACUGGGUGUAAAGGGGGCGCAGACGGCGAUGCAAGCCAGGAGUGAAAGCCCGGGGCCCAACCCCGGGACUGCUCUUGGAACUGCGUGGCUGGAGUGCAGGAGGGGCAGGCGGAAUUCCUGGUGUAGCGGUGAAAUGCGUAGAUAUCAGGAGGAACACCGGUGGCGAAGGCGGCCUGCUGGACUGCAACUGACGUUGAGGCCCGAAAGCGUGGGGAGCAAACAGGAUUAGAUACCCCGGUAUGG